AGAGUUUGAUCAUGGCUCAGAGCGAACGUUAGCGGCGGGCCUAACACAUGCAAGUCGAACGAGAAAAUCCCUUCGGGGGUGAGUACAGUGGCGCACGGGUGAGGAACGCGUAGGUAAUCCACCCUCUGGCGGGGGACAACACUCCGAAAGGAAUGCUAAUACCGCGUAAGACCACGCUCACUACGGUGAAAGUGGUUAAAGGUGCCUCAAAGCACCACCAGAGGACGAGCCUGCGUCCCAUCAGCUUGUUGGUAAGGUAAUGGCUUACCAAGGCUAAGACGGGUAGCUGGUCUGAGAGGAUGAUCAGCCACACUGGCACUGGAACACGGGCCAGACUCCUACGGGAGGCAGCAGUGAGGAAUAUUGGGCAAUGGGCGCAAGCCUGACCCAGCCACGCCGCGUGUGUGAUGAAGGCCUUCGGGUCGUAAAGCACUGUGGGGAGAGACGAAACAGCGCAUCAGGAAAUGGGUGCGCCUUGACGGUACCUCCUUAGCAAGCACCGGCUAACUCUGUGCCAGCAGCCGCGGUAAUACAGAGGGUGCAAACGUUGCUCGGAUUUACUGGGCGUAAAGCGCGUGUAGGCGGACUCGCAAGUCGGUUGUGAAAUCCCUGGGCUCAACCUAGGAACUGCAUCCAAAACUGCUUGUCUUGAGUAAUGGAGAGGGUGGCGGAAUUCCCGGUGUAGAGGUGAAAUUCGUAGAUAUCGGGAGGAACACCAGUGGCGAAGGCGGCCACCUGGACAUUUACUGACGCUGAGACGCGAAAGCGUGGGGAGCAAACAGGAUUAGAUACCCUAGUAGUCC
rnacentral:rRNA from 1 species